ACCUACGGGGGGCAGCAGUGAGGAAUAUUGGUCAAUGGGCGGGAGCCUGAACCAGCCAAGUCGCGUGAGGGAAGACGGUCCUAUGGAUUGUAAACCUCUUUUGUCGGGGAGCAAAGAGACCACGUGUGGUCAAAAGCGAGAGUACCCGAAGAAAAAGCAUCGGCUGACUCCGUGCCAGCAGCCGCGGUAAUACGGAGGAUGCGAGAGUUAUCCGGAUUUAUUGGGUUUAAAGGGUGCGUAGGCGGGACGGUAAGUCAGCGGUAAAAAUGCGGAGCUCAACUCCGUCGAGACGUUGAGACUGUCGG
rnacentral:rRNA from 1 species